rnacentral:tRNA from 1 species
GCCUCGGUAGCCGGCAGAGCGCGUGCCUUUUAAGCCCGUGGCCGCGGGUUCGAGCUCCGCCCGAGGUG